rnacentral:rRNA from 1 species
UACGGGGGGGGCAAGCGUUGUUCGGAAUUACUGGGCGUAAAGGGCUCGUAGGCGGCCAACUAAGUCGGAUGUGAAAUCCCCAGGCUUAACCUGGGAACUGCAUCCGAUACUGGAUGGCUUGAAUUCGGGAGAGGGAUGCAGAAUUCCAGGUGUAGCGGUGAAAUGCGUAGAUAUCUGGAGGAAUACCGGUGGCGAAAGCGGCAUCCUGGACCGAGAUUGACGCUGAUGAGCGAAAGCUAGGGGAGCAAACGGG